CCCGGGUAACGUCCAAAGCCCGGGAGGAAGGUGGGGGAGUGAACGUCAAGUCAGCAUGGCCUUUAUGUCUGGGGCUACACACACGCUACAAUGGCCAGUACAAUAGGUUGCAAGACCGCGAGGUGGAGCCAAUCCUUAAAAGCCGGUCUCAGUUCGGAUUGCAGGCUGCAAUUCGCCUGCAUGAAGUCGGAAUCGCUAGUAAUCGCAGGUCAGCAUACUGCGGUGAAUACGUUCCCGGGCCUU
rnacentral:rRNA from 1 species